rnacentral:snoRNA from 1 species
UAGAUCAAUGAUGCCUUCUGGUGGCAUACGAGUGGUAUCAUGAAUCCGUGUCUGGAACUCUCAGGUCCAU